AUUGAACGCUGGCGGCAGGCCUAACACAUGCAAGUCGAACGAGUGGCGCACGGGUGAGUAAUGUCUGGGAAACUGCCAGAUGGAGGGGGAUAACCAAUGGAAACGGUAGCUAAUACCGUCUACUAUCCGAUGUGCCAAUAUGGUAUUAGCUAGUAGGUGGGGUAAAGGCCCACCAAGGCGACGACCCCUAGCUGGUCUGAGAGGAGGACCAGCAACACUGGAACUGAGACACGGUCCAGACUCCUACGGGAGGCAGCAGUGGGGAAUAUUGCACAAUGGGCGCAAGCCUGAUGCAGCCAUGCCGCGUGUGUGAAGAAGGCCUUCGGGUUGUAAAGUACUUUCAGCGGGGAGGCGUUACCCGCAGAAGAAGGACCGGCUAACUCCGUGCCAGCAGGCGCGGUAAUUC
rnacentral:rRNA from 1 species